UUUUCCUGAGUCGUUUUAACUUCUCCAUUUCAUAUUGCCCCGGAUCCAAGAACACCAAGCCUGAUGCUCUCUCCCGGGUCUUCUCCUCUCCAUCGGAGCCUGAGGGUCCUUCUUCCAUCCUUCCUCCCUCCUGCAUCCUGGGUGCCGCUCAUUGGGACGUGGAGCGUGUUGUUAGGGAGGCCCAGACACGUCAUCCGGAUCCCGGAACUGGUCCCCCCAAUCUCCUGUUUGUUCCUGACUCCGUUCGGUCGGAGGUUCUCCAAUGGGGACACUCCUCCAAACUAAGCUGUCACCCCGGUAUUAAUCGCACCCUGUCUUUCCUCCGGCAGAGGUUUUGGUGGCCCUCAAUGGCUCGAGACACUCGGGAGUUCGUGGCUGCCUGCUCAGUCUGUGCCCGGGGAAAGGCCUCCCACAAGCCACCAGCUGGUCUGCUGCGCCCCCUGCCGGUGCCCAGUCGCCCUUGGUCUCACAUUGCUGUGGACUUUGUCACCGGGUUGCCCCCCUCACAAGGUAACACUGUCAUCCUCACCAUAGUGGAUCGCUUCUCCAAAAUGGUCCAUUAUGUACCACUCCCUAAAUUGCCUACCGCACUGGAGACAGCUAACCUUUUAAUCACUCACGUGUUCAAACUGCAUGGAAUCCCUCUGGAUAUUGUUUCAGACCGUGGGCCCCAGUUCGCCUCUCGUGUUUGGAGGGAUUUCUGCCAGGCAUUGGGCGCAGCAGUCAGCCUCUCCUCGGGUUUCCACCCGCAGACCAACGGCCAGACUGAGCGGGCCAAUCAGGACCUCGAGAGUGCUUUACGCUGCGUCGCAGCCCAUCACCCAGUUACCUGGAGCGACCAUCUUCCUUGGGUGGAGUACGCCCACAACGCCCUCUCCUGUUCGUCUACGGGUAUGUCUCCGUUCCAAGUUUGUUUUGGUUACCAACCCCCGUUGUUUCCAGAACAGGAGAGAGAGGUCGCUGUUCCUUCUGUGGGGGCUCACAUUAAGCGUCUGAAGGAGGUAUGGAGGAGGGCUCGAGAGGCUCUGUCCGCUACCACUGAGAGAACCAAACGCAGUGCUGAUCUCCAUCGUCAACCGGCUCCUUCGUAUCAUCCUGGCCAGAUGGUGUGGUUAUCUUCUCGGGACCUGCCCCUCCAGGUGGAGGCUAGUAAGUUGGCCCCUCGUUUUAUUGGUCCUUUUCCGGUGGAGAAGAUUAUUAACCCCUCUGCCGUGAGACUCAGGUUGCCAGCUUCCCUGAGGGUCCAUCCCACAUUCCACGUCUCUCUUCUCAAGCCAGUGGAGACCAGCGAGCUCUGCCCUCCGGCCGAGCCCCCUCCACCCCCCCGACUCAUUGAUGACCAUCCGGCGUUUACAGUAUCCCGGAUUUUGGACGUCAGGCCGCGGGGGCGAGGAUUCCAGUACCUGGUCGACUGGGAGGGAUAUGGACCUGAGGAGAGGUCAUGGAUCCCCCGCGGUCUCAUCCUUGAUGGCAACCUCCUCCGGGACUUCUACCAUGACCACCCCGACAAGCCGGGUAGGACGUCGGGAGACGUCCGUUGAGGGGGGGGUACUGUGAGGACUGGUCCCCAGUCCUCCAGUUUUGCUCCUCUUUGCCCUCCCCUCUCGGGCUGUCUUCCCCCCUUUAUCCACUUCGCCUGAACGGCGCUGUAGGCUGCUCAGGAUCCCUCUCUUCACUUCCUGCAUGGGUGGCACCGCGGGAGCUGAUCACCUGCUGGAGACCUCACCUGCUGCUAAUUCCGGUCUGAUUACCUGCCUACAAGAGCCCAGGGAGGAAUCUUCUCGGUGCCGGCUGAUUGCCUGAUUAAGUGGUUCGUUCACUACGUUUGUGCUGGCCUUAAGCCUCUUCUCCCCUCACGGAGAUUAUCUUGUGCUUCAUUUUUGGAUGACUGUUGUGGAUUCAUGCUCGUUUUACCCCUGGACUAACUCCUUCUCUCUUUCUCGUUUUUUCCAGGUCUCCACGAGCUCCUGCCACCACCACCAUCAUUGCUUUGUUCACUUUUUACUCACAUGUAAAUAAAAAUCACUGUUUGUUGAAAUCCUGAUCUGAUUCAGCCUCUGCUCUGGGUCCACCUAUGCACAACACC
rnacentral:lncRNA from 1 species